rnacentral:rRNA from 1 species
UGGGGAAUUUUGGACAAUGGGCGCAAGCCUGAUCCAGCAAUGCCGCGUGCAGGAUGAAGGCCUUCGGGUUGUAAACCGCUUUUGUCAGGGAAGAAACGAGUUUCUCUAAUACAGAGACUUAAUGACGGUACCUGAAGAAUAAGCACCGGCUAACUACGUGCCAGCAGCCGCGGUAAUACGUAGGGUGCAAGCGUUAAUCGGAAUUACUGGGCGUAAAGCGUGCGCAGGCGGUUAUGCAAGACAGAUGUGAAAUCCCCGGGCUCAACCUGGGACCUGCAUUUGUGACUGUAUAGCUAGAGUACGGUAGAGGGGGAUGGAAUUCCGCGUGUGGCAGUGAAAUGCGUAGAUAUGCGGAGGAACACCGAUGGCGAAGGCAAUCCCCUGGACCUGUACUGACGCUCAUGCACGAAAGCGUGGGGAGCAAACA